AGGUAUCUCCUAAUACGAGAUACUGCUGACGGUAUCUGCAGAAUAAGCACCGGCUAACUACGUGCCAGCAGCCGCGGUAAUACGUAGGGUGCAAGCGUUAAUCGGAAUUACUGGGCGUAAAGCGUGUGUAGGCGGUUCGGAAAGAAAGAUGUGAAAUCCCAGGGCUCAACCUUGGAACUGCAUUUUUAACUGCCGAGCUAGAGUAUGUCAGAGGGGGGUAGAAUUCCACGUGUAGCAGUGAAAUGCGUAGAUAUGUGGAGGAAUACCGAUGGCGAAGGCAGCCCCCUGGGAUAAUACUGACGCUCAGACACGAAAGCGUGGGGAGCAAACAGGAUUAGAUACCCUGGUAGUCCACGCCCUAAACGAUGUCAACUAGCUGUUGGGGCCGUUACGGUCUAGUAGCGCAGCUAACGCGUGAAGUUGACCGCCUGGGGAGUACGGUCGCAAGAUUAAAACUCAAAGGAAUUGACGGGGACCCGCACAAGCGGUGGAUGAUGUGGAUUAAUUCGAUGCAACGCGAAAAACCUUACCUACCCUUGACAUGUCUGGAAAGCCGAAGAGAUUUGGCCGUGCUCGCAAGAGAACCGGAACACAGGUGCUGCAUGGCUGUCGUCAGCUCGUGUCGUGAGAUGUUGGGUUAAGUCCCGCAACGGGCGCAACCCUUGUCAUUAGUUGCUACGGAAGNAGCACUCUAAUGAGACUGCCGGUGACAAACCGGAGGAAGGUGGGGAUGACGUCAAGUCCUCAUGGCCCUUAUGGGUAGGGCUUCACACGUCAUACAAUGGUCGGGACAGAGGGUCGCCAACCCGCGAGGGGGAGCCAAUCUCAGAAACCCGAUCGUAGUCCGGAUCGCAGUCUGCAACUCGACUGCGUGAAGUCGGAAUCGCUAGUAAUCGCGGAUCAGAAUGUCGCGGUGAAUACGUUCCCGGGUCUUGUACACACCGCCCGUCACACCAUGGGAGUGGGUUUCACCAGAAGUAGGUAGCCUAACCGUAAGGAGGGCGCUUACCACGGUGGUGAUUCAUGACUGGGGUGAAGUCGUAACAAGGU
rnacentral:rRNA from 1 species